CCGACCUUGAAAUACCACCCUUUAAUGUUUGAUGUUCUAACGUGGACCCGUGAUCCGGGUUGCGGACAGUGUCUGGUGGGUAGUUUGACUGGGGCGGUCUCCUCCUAAAGAGUAACGGAGGAGCACGAAGGUUGGCUAAUCCUGGUCGGACAUCAGGAGGUUAGUGCAAUGGCAUAAGCCAGCUUGACUGCGAGCGUGACGGCGCGAGCAGGUGCGAAAGCAGGUCAUAGUGAUCCGGUGGUUCUGAAUGGAAGGGCCAUCGCUCAACGGAUAAAAGGUACUCCGGGGAUAACAGGCUGAUACCGCCCAAGAGUUCAUAUCGACGGCGGUGUUUGGCACCUCGAUGUCGGCUCAUCACAUCCUGGGGCUGAAGUAGGUCCCAAGGGUAUGGCUGUUCGCCAUUUAAAGUGGUACGCGAGCUGGGUUUAGAACGUCGUGAGACAGUUCGGUCCCUAUCUGCCGUGGGCGCUGGAGAACUGAGGGGGGCUGCUCCUAGUACGAGAGGACCGGAGUGGACGCAUCACUGGUGUUCGGGUU
rnacentral:rRNA from 1 species